rnacentral:RNase_P_RNA from 1 species
UGAGUAAGCUGGGCAGCCGCCGUGGCGCAACGCCAGGGAGGAAAGUCCGAGCUCCAUAGGGCAGGACGCCGGGCAAUACCCGGUGGAGGCGACUCCAAGGAAAGUGCAACAGAAAUAAACCGCCACUAUAAGCGGCAAGGGUGGAAAGGCGAGGCAAAAGCUCACCGCUUCCCUGGCAACAGGGAAGGCUCUGCAAACCCCGUCCGGAGCAAGAUCAAAUUUAGGCUAUAGGCGGCCCGUCUUUCGGCCUAAGGUAGAAUCGCUUGAGCGCAUCGGCGACGAUGCGCCUAGAUAGAUGGCUGUUCACGACAGAACUCGGCUUAUAGGCUUACUCAGCAA